rnacentral:rRNA from 1 species
AUUGAACGCUGGCGGCAUGCUUUACACAUGCCAGUCGAACGGCAGCGCGGGCUUCGGCCUGGCGGCGAGUGGCGAACGGGUGAGUAAUGCAUCGGAACGUGCCCAGUAGUGGGGGAUAGCCCGGCGAAAGCCGGAUUAAUACCGCAUACGACCUGAGGGUGAAAGCGGGGGACCGAAAGGCCUCGCGCUAUUGGAGCGGCCGAUGUCGGAUUAGCUAGUUGGUGGGGUAAAGGCUUACCAAGGCGACGAUCCGUAGCUGGUCUGAGAGGACGACCAGCCACACUGGGACUGAGACACGGCCCAGACUCCUACGGGAGGCAGCAGUGGGGAAUUUUGGACAAUGGGGGCAACCCUGAUCCAGCCAUGCCGCGUGCGGGAAGAAGGCCUUCGGGUUGUAAACCGCUUUUGUUCGGGAAGAAAUCCUCUGGGCUAAUACCCCGGGGGGAUGACGGUACCGGAAGAAUAAGCACCGGCUAACUACG